GAAGAAGUUUCGUGGACUGUUCGGUGCCUCAGGAAACCCCAGCUCCUUUCUGGUGAGAAGAUUUUCCAGAGGAAGAACAGGGUAGCCUCUCCUGCCCAUAGAGGGGUCCUGUUCUGGUGAGGAGACCUAGCCAGCUACAGCUUCCAUUUUGGGUGAUCCUGUGUUAACCACGUCUUCUGUCAAUGAGCCUUACAGGCUGCAGCUGACAGAGUCACUCCACCUGAAGGACACUGACUGGCAUUUUGUCUCUGUAAAUCCUGAACAGAAGGGAACUUGGAACCGAAUUCGUUUUCCUUGUACCAGUUUAGAUCCCGCUGUUCAUGUGUAGCCUCGAGACGCCAUGAGACCUUGCCUGCUUCUCGUCCUACUCGUGAUCAUCCCACCUGCGAUCUCCUGCAUAGUGCCGCAGCCCAAACCACAUAUGGACUACCUUGACAAAGGUUCUCGGACAUCAACAGAGAAACUGACAACUGGCUGAAUGGACUGUUCAAAGGCUGGGGACUCUCGGGCUGGUUGGGAUCUAUUCUGAAAACUGUGUUUUUAGUGCUGUUUAUUUCAGUUAUAGUUAUUGUAGUUGUAACCAUUGUUUUUGGACUAAUCAAACGCAUGGUUCUCAAGUUAAUUUCAAGCUCAUACCCCCCUCCUGAGGUCUACCAUUUGGAAACCCUCAGUGCUCCAAUGGAUGACCUGGAAGCCUCAGUGGAAAACACUGACCCUCUUGUAGAGGAAGAACCGAUUUACCAACUAUGGUUUGGCAAGCAUUCCGCAUCACAAAACCAGUCCUCUUCUUUUUAAACCAAACUAGAGGGAUAUGUUGCAGUGUAUUGUAAUGUCCUGUUUUAAACUUCCGGGUCCCUUCCCAGGUGUGCCUAUACCUCUCUCCCUUCCCCCUUGCCCCCUUGCUGAGUGAGUCCUGUCAAUCAGGCUUAACAUUCCAGCAAGGUCUUCGUGUGGUUGGUCAAGUUCAAAAGAUACCCUAUGCCCAGAGGUCAUUGGCCUGUCUAGGUGUCAUCCUCCCCUGAGACCAUGCCCCUCCAACAUGGUUGGUAGCUCACCUGCCCCUUCCCUCCCCCUCCCCCGGGAGCUUUAAAAGGUAAUCAGACCAUGUGCUCGGGAUUCUGUUGGAGCUGUUACUGACAUUCAGACCUCUGUGACCACGGAAUAAAGCCCUGGAUAUACCCCUC